AGUCAAUAGAUACCCCGGUAGUCCAUGCCGUAAACGAUGAUUGCUAGGUGUGGGGGGUCUGACCCCUUCCGUGCCGGAGUUAAACACAAAUAAGCAAUCCACCUGGGGAGUACGGCCGCAAGGUUGAAACUCAAAGGAAUUGACGGGGGCCCGCACAAGCAGUGGAGUAUGUGGUUUAAUUCGAAGCAACGCGAAGAACCUUACCAGGUCUUGACAUCCACCGAAUCCUGUAGAGAUACGGGAGUGCCCUUCGGGGAACGGUGAGACAGGUGGUGCAUGGUUGUCGUCAGCUCGUGUCGUGAGAUGUUGGGUUAAGUCCCGCAACGAGCGCAACCCUUGUGAAUAGUUGCUACGAAAGAGCACUCUAUUCAGACCGCCGUUGACAAAACGGAGGAAGGUGGGGAUGACGUCAAAUCAUCAUGCCCCUUAUGACCUGGGCUACACACGUACUACAAUGGUCGUCAACAGAGGGAAGCAAGACCGCGAGGUGGAGCGAACCCCUAAAAACCGAUCUCGGUUCAGAUUGCAGGCUGAAACUCGCCUGC
rnacentral:rRNA from 1 species